AGAAGGACGAAGCUCCGUGACUGCUGGUUCGGAUACUACUGUUCCUGCUUUGAGGCGCUUCAGGAUCUCAUUGCGACAGUUAUCAAAGGCCACAGAGAUGAUUACUCGAGUUAAAGUGACUACGAGCUAUCUUGGCGCUGAUGUUGCGGGUGCCCACUGUCUUGCCGUGAAGUUCCCUCACUGCAAUGUGGGCUGUCUCUAAAUCGGCGAACCUCACAAAUCUACAGGGAUGAGAAAACAGGACUGAUGAUUAUGUAGUUCAAGUUAUGGUUAAUCGGUUAUACAUAAUUCAUGCAUCGUCAGUGGGUUUUUUUUUAUAUCAUAUUCAUUAAUGAUAAACUUGUCGAAGCGAGCGGUCCUGGCGGGAAUGUCCACAUCCACCACCUCCCCAAGUCCUUCGCACAUGACUCUCAGCUGGUCCUCCCUGGUGCCAGCUGGUAAGUUGCGCACCACGACUGUCACUGCCUGGCUCUAGAAGAUAAAGACGGGGUGGACGGACGGGGGAAAAGAACGACUGAUUGAUUGACUGAUUCAUUUGUUGUGUUCUUAGGUAAGAGAGAUUAAAGCGAACAAAAAAAAAAAAAAAAAAAAAAAA